rnacentral:rRNA from 1 species
CGCAAAACUUUACAAUCAGGAAACUGUGAUAAGGGAAACCCCGAGUGCCCGUAUACGCGGGCUGUCCAGGUGUCUAAAAAGCAUCUGAAGAAAGGGCCGGGCAAGACCGGUGCCAGCCGCCGCGGUAAUACCGGCGGCUCGAGUGMUGGCCACUAUUAUUGGGCUUAAAGCGUCCGUAGCUGGACUCUUAAGUCUCUUGGGAAAUCCGCCGGCUUAACCGACGGGCGACUAAGAGAUACUGAGAGUCUAGGGACCGGGAGAGGUGAGAGGUACUCCGGGGGUAGGAGUGAAAUCCUGUAAUCCCUGGGGGACCACCGAUGGCGAAGGCAUCUCACCAGAACGGCUCCGMCAGUGAGGGACGAAAGCUGGGGGAGCGAACCGGAUUAGAUACCCGGGUAGUCCCAGCCGUAAACUAUGCGCGUUAGGUGUACUGGUGACCACGAGUCACUGGGGUGCCGAAGGGAAACCGUGAAACGUGCCGCC